rnacentral:miRNA from 1 species
GCUGUACCGGCUCAUAGCA